UCCACACACGCCAUACACGUGUGUUUUGUUUACAUCGUGAGAAUGUUUAGAAAUGGAAACGAACCUGGAUGUCCGAAGUCUCCUUGCCAAAUGCAAGGGUUUCUGCAAACAGCAGGAAAUACUCGAAAAUAUUCAGGAACUGCUGAAUGUUCUCAACGAAGGCCGAAAUGUCGACGAACCUGAUGUAGGUCGACGGCUAGUACAAUUGAUGUGGGACAUUGUCAAGUGCGAGAGUGACAUCGCAGGAGACGUCGUCAGCUUCAACAAGACCCGACAAUCUGCCAUCAACAAUACUCACGUAAUCAUUUUCGUUGUGCGCAUCUUAUCAGGAACUUUCGCACCACACAUCAGUGCCGCAAUUUUCCAAACAUUCCUCUGCACUCCUCUUCAAAACCACCUCGACGUCAACGACGUACUGAACAUUACACGAAGGGAACCAUUAUCAGUAUCACGCCCAUCCAUUCACCAUCUCAACCUCACCACCAAUGCACUCGUUAAAGGAGCCAACCUUAGUUUCCUUAUCAGCCCAAACACUGAAGGCAAAUCUCUCAUACUGGAACUGUUAGAUGUGGUUGUGAAGCUGUGCUCAGACUUGAGCAUUCCCCGUUUCCAAGCAACUAUGGGACUCCUGACAUGGCUGGACGCGGUAGAACGUCUCUUCAAAGAAGGUCUCCGGAUCUCAAACGAGUGCAAGUUUGUGCCAGAGACGAAGGAGGUGGACGAGAUUAUGAUGGUUGUGACAGCCAACUGGGAAUCCCCAGUGAACGGAGUGUCGGACUUGGUGAAGAAAAUUUACGGCUUCCUGUUGAGGUUGCACAUGUUGGAAAGGCAAGCCUUUUCAGCAGCAAUUUCUGCAGACCUACAUGGAUUUUUGCUAAAGAAGACAAUGCGUAUGCCUUGGACAGCGAAGCCAAAGUUUCAGAGCCUGGCGUGCCUUCUGCAGCAUGUUGACUUCGAUAAGUGCAUAGCACUCGAUCCAAAGCUACCGAAAGAAGUGAUCGGUUGUCUUUCGUCAACUCACCUGACAUCAGUUGCCAGUGACGUCUACAAAUCAUCAAUUGCAAAACGAAAUAAAGAAGUAGAGAAAGACGCGUGGACGAAGCACUGGAAAGACGUCAUUGCCGAUGCCAUGUCAAGUGACAACAGAGUGCAGCGUCAUAAUCUGACAACCCACAUCCUCCCAUGGACUUUGCAAAAUGUGUCAAACAGUUUUGCGGACCUCUGUGCGACGCUGAAGGAAGACAAGAAACUGAAACUGACAUCUUUGGUGACCUUGUCUCGGAUUGCCAAACAGGCAGGGAUACCUCUGUCCACGUCACAGGGAAAGAAUCUGGUUCAGAACUGUCUUCAUCACAAAUCGACCGAAGUUCGCGCUGAAGUCUUUGGCCUCCUCUGUUCAUGUCACGCAAAAUCACAGCUGCCUACUGCUGAAGAAUUCGAGAGCAUCAUGAAGUUCCUUCCAGAUAACCUUAAUGUUGACGAUGCUUGGUUCCGCACAGAAGUAACAAUUCACAUGGAAAAUUUUAUAAUCCGCCUUCGUGACCGUGCGUUGACAGAAUUUUCACGCACCAGAGGUCAGGGCACAGGAAACAUCGAGACCAAUGACACUUUUGCGAAAAUUGUAGGUUUUAUCGAGUGGCUUGUGAGCUUGUGCAUUCAAAGCCUGUAUCCUGGAGCUGGGUAUCAGCGAAUGAUCACGUGUAUCACGAUACUUGAAACAGUGUUUGGUACUUUCUCAAAUGAUCCGAAGGGAAAGAGGAAGAUGAUUCAACGAAAAGAUGACCUGAGAAUCAUGUUGAAUUAUCUGUGGGAAACUCGCACCAGGCUCGACCCCACUUCAGGAAAAACGCGUCAAUCCAUAAUGCAGUGCAUUUUUCACGGGGCAGACGACGUACGACAAGUUACAUUUAAAAUUCUUUCAACGUGCAUUGUAACGCACGCAAGCUACGCCACCAAGCUGAUAGACCUCGCUAAAGAGUACAUGUCAAGUCCUAAGCCACAUGAUACUGCUGUUGGGGCAACAUUGAUGCAUCUGUACCUCAUUCACGUGAAAGAUGACAGUAAGAAACUGGAAGGUGGUAUGAUCACACUUUUUGACACCAUCUACAAAGAGAGUGAAAGUGUCCAGAAUAAUUUUGUUGAAGCUGCUCAGAAUUGUCCAGCUCAUGGGGCUGUCCUCGCAUUGGCCACAUGUUUCUCUGAUGUGACCAUACUUAAGGCUCUACAAGCUGCCGGCCAUCUUGACACCCAUGUACUAAAUGCUGUGGAACUUGCCAGGCAUCUCAUUAACCAUGCUCUAAAGGUCAUGAGACUUGAGGACAGCAUGCCAAGUAGUAGUAUAAAUGACUCAACUAACAACGUCCCCACAUCUGAGAUAAUGGCAGCACCGUCUUUCGAGGACACAAACCGUGCCUUUCUGGAGCUUGUAAAUGCGUGGGAAAGCAUGCACGGCCAGCUAAGUGAUUACGAACAGCAAAUUCUGCUAGAAAAGAUGAGCUCCUGUAGUUGGCUCUGCAUCAAGAAUUCAUGCAAACUGCUUGAGGAAGUGACACGGGCAUGGUCUGAAGAUAACGGAGUAAGCAUCUCGCUGUCCUCCGAAACGAUAAAACAAAUUGACGCAAAGUUUGUGGAUGUCUUGUUCGAGUGCCGUCACAGGGGUGCCAUCGAAAGCUGUUACGAAUCGUACCGCGCUUUCUGUCGUCUAAUUGCGCUCUCCGAGGACGCGGAAAUUGCAGGACUGCCGUUCGAGAACCUGAGAAGGCUGCUACUGCAAGUUGUAAGAAAGACGAAGUCUGCAUCUGUCACACGACGUUCAGCUGGGUUGCCGCUGUUGAAACGUGCCCUAGUGGAAAGCAAGCCAGAUAACUCUCAACACUCACUUCUAGCAUAUGCGGUCGAUGAACUAGAGAAGGCUGCUAGAUCUCCUCUGUCAGAAAUGACAGGCCUUGACCAAGAGGUGGACCUAAUUCAGGCCGAAGCAUUGCACAUCCUGUGUAGUCUAGUCGGAGCAGCAUCACUCUCUUCCGCGAUGCUCCCUCAUCUUGGUCGCAUUCUUCGGCUGACUGUCGACAUGCUCAGUGCACCACGAUGGGUGAUAGUCAACGCAGCACAUCAACUUUAUGGUGCUGUGAUGCCAAGGUUGUUGGGGCAGAAAAAAACCAAAGAAAUCGUCGGCCACAACACCAUGACGGCUGCUGAACUGUUCUCCCGUUACCCGGACCUUUGUGACCAAUUCCUGUCUUGCCUCACGGAGGACAAGUUAUGUGGCCGAAAGGACACCAUGUUUGUGCUGGAUUUUCUUUCUCGGCUCACUCCCACAGCCUUCACGUCGAAAGAACAAGAUUAUCUGAAUCCCUUCUUGAAGUGUCUCGACAAUCAUCUCACCUGCGAUAGCUGGGCACAGCGUCUGCUAGCAGCAAAGUGCUAUCGGUUGCUUUGUACGCCAAGCUGUUCUGAACUGAGGCGCCUCUUGGACGCACUAACAGGAGAAGACCACUGCUCAACGAACCGCAUGCAGGCUGCUCUACAUCUUGCAAAUCUCCUGCUACGGGACAAUCCACACUUGGCCACAGAUCUUGGCAGCAUUUACGAGGGCCUCCUGACAUCACGUUUUGCCUGGAUGCUGUCAAAGGGUUACUACUUGGUCUGCGUAGAGUUCCUGGAGUUCCUCGAACGCAUUUUGCCCCAAAGAGAGUCCCAGUGGAGGCACCUUCUGUAUGAAAACUUUCUGGAAGACACCAAGCAGCACUUAAAAGCUUUUGAGCUGCCUGGAAGGUCGAUGUGGAAAGUAGCCCAUACCAAGUGGCUCCUGAAAAGCAAUGAAGGCUGGUUGCAGACAAACUUUCUCCGCAUAUUAGCUGCUGCUGAACAUGAUCAAGAUGUUAUGGAAGGCAUUUUGGAGAACUUGACGGAGGAAAUUGGGAAAUCUUGGUUAUGCUUUUCUACACAUAUGUUGCAGCAGGUGGCGGUAACGUUGGUUCACUAUUGCAGCAAGAGAGAGACAUAUCGUACCUUAAAGAUCCGAGCACUAGGGGUGCUAGAGACAUUAUUUGAAAUGGAAGGUGUUGUUGAAGAGACCCUCUUGAGUGAUUGCUGCAAAAUGAGCAAGGAUCAUGCAACUAAGGAAGUACCAGGAGGAACUACAGUGCAGGCGUUGUCUCUGCUGCUUUGGGCUGUCUGCAUAAAGCAUAUGAUCAGCAUGCCUUACAAAAAGGAAUCGGCGAAAGUUCUUGAUGAGCUUCACCAGUGGUCGUCAAUUUUAAGCAGCUUCUGUCAGUGGAAGGUUGAUGAAGUUUUCCGACUGAAUGUGGCACGUUCUCUCAAAACAGUAGGACACCCCUUGCUCGGAUGCAUUGCGGGAUAUAACCCACUGCCAACUAAAAUAAUCUACAGUCUGUUCAGCAGCAUUCUGUCACUCUUACAAGAUGAAAAUGAGGAGGCACGGAAACAUGUAGCAGACAUGUUUGGUAUUGCUACAGAGGAUGGACAUUUAAUACCAGUCCAGCCUAACAUAGCGAUUAAGGAGCUCUUCAAGUGGCUCCUCUCUACAUGUAAAGGACGUCCAGACCUGGUGAUGUUUCUGACGGACCAGCUGAAAUCUGAAAACCCGACAGACGUUGAAGUGAUGCGCCUGUCUCGUCCAAACAGCAACGGUUUGUUUGAACAAGAAGACGCAAACUUCUACGCGGAACCCCUAGUCAUAGUCGCUUUAGUGAAAGAAUAUGUGCGGAUAUCCAUCAGUGAAGUGGCAGAUGACGACAAGGAUGCACUUUGUCGACACUAUGCGUACGAAGGACUUAACGUUCUGAACGAAGCCGAAAAAACUUUGGUCCUUCUGAAAGCAAGGCAGGAUGAUCUUGCUAGCCUUGGAGGACAAAUGCUUGGCGAGAACAGGCUACACCUACCACUGAGUAUGCUUCAUGCGCGAAUGUGCACAUGCCUUCUUGUGCUGAAAGCAGAUGAAAACAAGGAUGCCCAGGUCAUGAAAGUUGUCACGGGAUUGGAGUCGCAAAGAAUGAAAUUGUUAGAAGUGUGGAUGCCACAGCUUCCAUAGGAGGCUGGAUUGACGGUUGAUCCAACUGGUGAUGACGAUAGAUGCUGGCUCUACUCUGUACCACGAGCGUCAACCGCGACGUUGGACAAUCUGUUUGCCAGUCCCUAUGCCAAUGAUGAGCUGUCUGGCACAGUGAGAUACCAAUGCAGGUCUUGGAGGAAUCUCCGUCAGCCAUGAUUUCCCUCGAUCAACAAAGGAUGUUUCCCGUGCUGUACCACAACUUACCUUCAUAGACUGGAAGUACCCGGCGGCUUUACGCAAGCACGUGUGCACUUCCUUUGCCUCAUCCAUGUUGAUGCUGCAAGGAAUGUUGGCACAGUAUGGCACAGCUCAUUAACAAUGAUUGGUACAUUAUACAGUGCUGGACAAAAGUUUACGGAACACGCUCCGGCACAUUCUUUCCUCAAAGUGUCGUGCUAGCAGCAAAUGGGACUGUACGGAGUAACCCAGUCGCCUGUUUGCAAGACUGUACGUUACCAUUUGCAACUUUGUGUCUCCGAGGAAGAAACACGCAGGGGCGUGUUCCGUAAACUUUUGUCCAGCACGGUACUGCACAGUGUAUCAGCUCGUACAGCACUAUGUGAAAAGAAAAAUAACUUGUAUGCUCACAUGUAAAAAUAAGGGUAAUAUAGUUGCACAUGUCAAAAAGCACUUCACUAGCUGCAAAUGAGCUACACAGAAAGUAUUCAGUUCAGUGUAGAUUAAACAGUGCAGCUUUUCUUCGAUUCAUAAUCCCGUACUAUGUGCUUUGCAAAAGAUAUUAUAGUGAGAGAAUAUUAAAGCUAAGGAAAGAUUAAUCUUUUCCCGGUUAUUUAAAGAAAACAACUGAAAACAAAAUUUUAUCCAUGGUCAAGGUGGGAGCCCCAAGGACUUUCACAAGAAGCAAAGCUAGCAAAUAGCUUUAUAAUGUUUGUACAGUUUUUUUAUUCAUUGCAGAAUUUUUAUAGAAAAAAACUAGCAGAGCAAAACAGAUGCUGUUUUAGCAGGUGGGUUAUACGGCCAGGCGAACAUCCUGUAGGACAGCGUAUGCAACUAUUGGAUGACUAAUUAGCUAAAAUUCAUUAACAGAUUAAUUAGAUGUUUUCAACUUUAAGAAACACUAUGAGUAAAACAUGGUGAAACUUACUCUUCCUUGGAUGCCACAUGUGCAGCACGUUUCAUGAACCAGAUUCCAACAUUCUGGCAAACUGAGAUGAGCUCAAACACUGCAUCAGACUGUACUCUGUAAGAUAGGUAGUAUUUCCAUCAAGCUGUCUUUAUCUGUGCAUACUUCAUCAUUAAGCAAGACCCAUUAAAAAAAUCAUGCA